rnacentral:tRNA from 1 species
AAUCCGUCGAUUUCAAAAA